GUCUAUGGCCAUACCACCCUGAACUUGCUCGAUCUUGUCUGAUCUUAGAAGCUAAGCAGGGUCGGACCUGGUUAAUACUUGGAUGGGAGAAAAUGUGAACUUCAAGGAAAGACU
ensembl:rRNA 5S_rRNA 5S ribosomal RNA